rnacentral:rRNA from 1 species
UUCGGGGUGGAUUAGUGGCGAACGGGUGAGUAACACGUGGGCAAUCUGCCCUUCACUCUGGGACAAGCCCUGGAAACGGGGUCUAAUACCGGAUACCACUCCUGCCUGCAUGGGCGGGGGUUGAAAGCUCCGGCGGUGAAGGAUGAGCCCGCGGCCUAUCAGCUUGUUGGUGGGGUAAUGGCCCACCAAGGCGACGACGGGUAGCCGGCCUGAGAGGGCGACCGGCCACACUGGGACUGAGACACGGCCCAGACUCCUACGGGAGGCAGCAGUGGGGAAUAUUGCACAAUGGGCGAAAGCCUGAUGCAGCGACGCCGCGUGAGGGAUGACGGCCUUCGGGUUGUAAACCUCUUUCAGCAGGGAAGAAGCGAAAGUGACGGUACCUGCAGAAGAAGCGCCGGCUAACUACGUGCCAGCAGCCGCGGUAAUACGUAAGGCGCAAGCGUUGUCCGGAAUUAUUGGGCGUAAAGAGCUCGUAAGCGGCUUGUCACGUCCGAUGUGAAAGCCCGAGGCUUAACCUCGGGUCUGCAUUCGAUACGGGCUAGCUAGAGUGUGGUAGGGGAGAUCGGAAUUCCUGGUGUAGCGGUGAAAUGCGCAGAUAUCACGAGGAACACCCGUGGCGAAAGCGGAUCUCUGGGGCAUUACUGACGCUGAAGAGCGAAAACGUGGGGAGCGAACAGGAUUAGAUACCCUGGUAGUCCACGCCGUAAACGUUGGGAACUAAGUGUUGGCGACAUUCCACGUCGUCGGUGGCGCAGCUAACGCAUUAAGUUCCCCCCUGGGGAGUACGGCCGCCAGGC